UGCAGUCGAGCGGACAGAUGGGAGCUUGCUCCCUGAUGUCAGCGGCGGACGGGUGAGUAACACGUGGGUAACCUGCCUGUAAGACUGGGAUAACUCCGGGAAACCGGGGCUAAUACCGGAUGCUUGAUUGAACCGCAUGGUUCAAUUAUAAAAGGUGGCUUUUAGCUACCACUUACAGAUGGACCCGCGGCGCAUUAGCUAGUUGGUGAGGUAACGGCUCACCAAGGCAACGAUGCGUAGCCGACCUGAGAGGGUGAUCGGCCACACUGGGACUGAGACACGGCCCAAACUCCUACGGGAGGCAGCAGUAGGGAAUCUUCCGCAAUGGACGAAAGUCUGACGGAGCAACGCCGCGUGAGUGAUGAAGGUUUUCGGAUCGUAAAACUCUGUUGUUAGGGAAGAACAAGUACCGUUCGAAUAGGGCGGUACCUUGACGGUACCUAACCAGAAAGCCACGGCUAACUACGUGCCAGCAGCCGCGGUAAUACGUAGGUGGCAAGCGUUGUCCGGAAUUAUUGGGCGUAAAGCGCGCGCAGGCGGUUUCUUAAGUCUGAUGUGAAAGCCCCCGGCUCAACCGGGGAGGGUCAUUGGAAACUGGGGAACUUGAGUGCAGAAGAGGAGAGUGGAAUUCCACGUGUAGCGGUGAAAUGCGUAGAGAUGUGGAGGAACACCAGUGGCGAAGGCGACUCUCUGGUCUGUAACUGACGCUGAGGCGCGAA
rnacentral:rRNA from 1 species